rnacentral:rRNA from 1 species
UGGGGAACAUUGCACAAUGGGCGCAAGCCUGAUGCAGCCAUGCCGCGUGUGUGAAGAAGGCCUUCGGGUUGUAAAGCACUUUCAGCGGGGAGGAAGGCGGUGAGGUUAAUAACCUCAUCGAUUGACGUUACCCGCAGAAGAAGCACCGGCUAACUCCGUGCCAGCAGCCGCGGUAAUACGGAGGGUGCAAGCGUUAAUCGGAAUUACUGGGCGUAAAGCGCACGCAGGCGGUUUGUUAAGUCAGAUGUGAAAUCCCCGGGCUCAACCUGGGAACUGCAUCUGAUACUGGCAAGCUUGAGUCUCGUAGAGGGGGGUAGAAUUCCAGGUGUAGCGGUGAAAUGCGUAGAGAUCUGGAGGAAUACCGGUGGCGAAGGCGGCCCCCUGGACGAAGACUGACGCUCAGGUGCGAAAGCGUGGGGAGCAAACAGG